GAACGCGCGGAGGGGGCGCGGGGGCCGCCGCCCGCCGCCCCCCCCCCCGGCCCCGGCCCCCGUUCAGCCGCGAUUGUGAUGGAAAUAGGCCUUUCCCCGCAUGCUGUUGAACUUGAUGUUGACUCCUUUUCUUUGGGGGUUUCACAUCUCUUCGGUCACUUGUUUUGUGGGAAAAUUUUCUCCCGAGCUCCGGUGUGAAAUUAAUUAAUCAGGGCCUCUAGAUGGCAAUGGGACACAAAAGGGGACAGCCCGGGGAAACUCCGACAAACUCACAAAAGCCACCCCCGGGGUUUAUAGCCCCGGGCCGGUCGGACCGACUGCCCUGCCCUGCCCGGUGCCCGAGGUAAGGGGCUGCCGGAGCGAAGUUUCGGUGGGCUCCGUGGAACGGCGCGGCGGGGGACCGGCACACCGGGCGAGGCGGAGGUAACGGCGGUUCUCCUCCUCCCCCCUCCAUCCCCACCACUGGGAUUCGGCCGGUUUUACCGGAGGGAUGCGGGGCAGAGGAGAAAUCCCCACGUUGCUUUGAUCACUGCGGUCCGGCAGCAUCCCUCACUGGGGACGGGAACGGGGCGAAGCACCCACAGCAAAAGGGAGCACCCAGGCCAGCGUGGGCAGAGCCCCAGGAAGACCACCCACCCCACAGCACCCUCACCCUGGAGAUCAAAGGAUGGAGGAGCCCCAUGGGGCACCGUGGACUGGACUUUCCUGCCCGUGGGAGCUGUCAGGCUGGGAGGAGGCUGCUCCUGGCACGGGUUUGCAGCAGCAAAGUUGUACGUGGCUGUCGGGGACGGGCUGGUUUGGUCGCAUCCCUCCACGGCAAGCGCAGUGCCUGCAGAGCUAAGCGAGGGAAGUUAGCUUUGCUCCCCCAAGGAUGCUCGAGAGCCCUUCGCCUCUCCUGGACGGGGCAGCUGCCCGGCAGCGCACCGGGGGCUUUGCUGACGGUACCCCACAGUCGGGACAUCGGGACCCCCCCCACAAGCGACCGACAGCAACAAGGACAUGAGUGAAGAGGUGCCACCGCAUGCCCGGGGGACAGCGUGAGGGUCAGCCUUUUUGCAAGCGACCCGGCACAAAGCACGGCUCUCGGUGACACGAGCGGAUGCCGUGGGGUCCGGGUGCCCAGGAAAGGCUGGAGAAAACCAAGGCUGGGUUUGAAGCGUGGGCAGGAUCCAUGCAGAUGCCCUUCCCAUCCCCGGGGUAAGGGCUUCCUCCCUUUUUUCCCGUAUAAGCAGCCCCAAGGCUGAAGCCAGACAUGCCCAGGGGGUCCCACCCGGGGGUCCCCCCCAUACCUCGGUGCCAGACGGGUUGCACGGACCGCGAGGUGACACCCCAGGAAGCUGGAAGGACACAGCCGCUGCCACCAAGCCCGAGGCACCGCGAGGAUGAGGUCUGCAGCUCAAUGAGGCGAAAGGGAAAAAAAAAUCACACGCAUUAAAGGUGUUCAAAGCCCCCA